AGUUGAAUCGAGGGCAACUGGGAGGUCAGGACUGAAGAAGCCUGUUGGAUGAGAGGUGAAAUGUCUACAGCCGAGUCUAGAUGCCCUUGAUUGAACUCCUCUUGGAUGACUACGACCUGGACGACUGAGAAUCUUCACAGACGUGAGAGACCUUGGGUGUCACCAAACAACUCACUGUGCUGCCUGGCUGUUCACUAGACAUGGACAGGGCACGGAAGAGGAAAUGUUCAGACACACAAAUACAAGAGUGUACCUGAUGAACCGCAAGCCUGAGGGGGUGAAAUAAAACCAGUGAAUGGACUGGAGUACUUUGACCAGAACUCCACCUUGCUGCCCUUUGGAAAAGAGUCCACUUACUCACACCGCCAACAAUCAUCCAGUCAAUUAUUGACCGGAGAGAUGCACAGUAGUCACUCCAUCCGCAUGACCUGCCUGCCUGACGGGGGAACUUCAGAGGCUGCGGAAAUGAAUGCACGAUGGAUGGGUGGACAGAGG